CCGAAGUGCGCCGCAAGGAAGGUCGGGUCCGUUGGAUUCGCCAGCGGGGCAAUGCUGCUGCGGCCGCUGCGGAGCUGGGCUUCCCGGGCGCUGCGCCGCGACAGGCCCCGGAGCCCCGCCUCCAGCCCGGGGUCGCUAGGGGCGCAGCGUUGGGCCUGGCCUCGGGAUAAAGAUAGAGAAAAUGAAAAAGAGAAAAAAUCAGUGAUCUGUGUCGAGGGCAAUAUUGCAAGUGGGAAGACGACGUGCCUGGAGUUCUUCUCCAACACAACUGACAUCGAGGUGUUAACGGAGCCCGUGCCCAAGUGGAGAAACGUCCGAGGCCAUAAUCCUCUGGGUCUGAUGUACCAGGACGCCUGUCGAUGGGGCCUCACGCUGCAGACAUAUGUGCAGCUUACCAUGCUGGACCAGCACACUCGUCCUCAGACAUUGCCUGUACGGUUGAUGGAGCGGUCGAUUCACAGCGCAAGAUACGUUUUUGUAGAAAACUUGUAUAGAAGUGGGAAGAUGCCUGAAGUGGACUAUGUGGUCCUCUCGGAAUGGUUUGACUGGAUUGUGAGGAACAUCGAUGUGUCCAUUGACUUGAUCGUUUAUCUCCAGACCACUCCUGAGACCUGUUACCAGAGGCUAAAGAUGAGAUGUAGGGAAGAGGAGAAGGUCAUUCCACUGGAAUACCUGGAUGCUAUUCACCACCUGUACGAGGAGUGGCUCAUCAAAGGGAGCCUUUUCCCCGUGGCGGCCCCUGUUCUGGGCAUCUGAAGGAACGUCAGUUGCUGUUCUGGUCUGUCACACAAUGAUGCCCCCUUAGGAGGUGCUGAGGUGAUUGAGGCUGACCACGACAUGGAGAAAAUGUUAGAACUCUUUGAACAAAACCGGCACCGAAUACUAAUUCCAGAGGAUCGGAAGCUUGGUCCAUAGGACGGGGAAGAUCAUGCCAGAGAAAUGCCCGCUGCUGCCAAGUUAGCUCUCACGAGCAAUUUGGAACAAUCCACUCUCGGGAGGGCUUUCUAUCUGGGCACAUUUGUCUUCCUAAUGGUCUUCUCUCCUUUACCAGUGUCUUUAUCCUGGGAUUCUGGCCCUCGUGGGUAAAUGACAUGAUGGGACCAUUGGGUUUGUCGCGGCCCUUUGGUGUCGCAGCCUUGCAUUCCCCCGGUGCUUCUCCCGGUGGUUUCCCACCUCUGGAUUCCUCUAAGUUAGGGAAGAGCCACCUGACUGACCCUGGGCUCAUGGUCUCUAGCCCUUCAGACCAUCCUCGAGGGCGAGGUAGUGGUCUUACACCCCAGGGGAGGAAGUUGAAGCUCAGACAGGCUAAGGGACUCCCUGGGGUCACACAGCCAGUGACAGUGGAGUCAGCACCAUUCAGACUUCCGGUGACUCCCAAACGAUCAACCUCUUGCCCCAGGCUGCCUCAUCCCAAGAGCCCUGCCUUCCCUGCUGGAGAGCCCCGUGCGCGCGUGCGUGUGUGUGUAUAGCGGGGGCAGCGGUGCAUGCAGCCAGCAUCAUCAUUUUCUCCUGAUUUGAGCAGCUCCUGAGGACAGUUAGCAUUUCUAGACUUUCACAAAAUUGUGCGGUAUUUGGCUCGAGCCCAGUGCUCAGUGAUUCACUAGCAUGAGGCUGAUGUGGUACUUACCACCUCGUCAUCGGGACUUCCCCAUCCUCAGAAGAAUCAUGGUUUGGUUCCUGAAUGGUGCUCGGUCUUCUUGGUGACGAAGGUCCUGCUUGAGCUGCUGCUGAUUCCCCGGCAGGGCAAUGGCCUGUGGCGCCAGGCUGGUGUGCCCAGUGCUGUGCUGGGGCAAGGGGCUACCAGCCUGGCUUCUGAGGCUCCCUUCCUCCAUAGUGGCCUUGUGUGAAGAGCUUCACCCUUGGAAUUCCUGGGAGUUUGUGGCCCAGGGGAGAGACACAGUGGCCUUACGUCUUUUUGAAAUGUUUUUCCAUCCAAAGGGACACCAUGGGCCCUAGGGCAUGAACCAUCUUUAUUAGUUCAGAGAAUAUCUUAGCUCCGUUCAGCUGUAACAAUGCACUGAAGGCACGGCUGUCUCCUGAGUCAAGUAGGAAGCAAGAGAAAGGAAGAACAUUCUCUUCGGGGACAGUCUGGGCAGGAAAGUUGGGGCUGGCAAGCAAAGGCUCUUGGAGCACUAGAGCUCCUGAAUUUUGGAGGUGGGUGGGGAGAGCUUCCAGAAGGCUGUUUGCAGACACGGGGAAGGAUUGAUUAUGAACUUAGGGAAACAGGCCUUGGCCUCUCCCGAGUGGUGGUUGGUGUACCUGAAGGUUGGAAGGCCUCGUCCCAGCCUCUGUGUGAGUGUGGCUCCUGUGCACGCAAUUCUCUGACGCUACAUAGGUGAGAGGUGCCCCUGGUGGCCCGGGCCCAGAGGCAGCGCUAGGAGGGCAGCACUCUGGCUUCCGGCCCUUUCUGGCUGGACUGACUCCUGGGCCGUGUGCACAGGGUGAGGGUGGGAGCCUGGUGGGGAUGUGUCUCUCAGCCCAGUUGUUGGUGAUGGACCAGAAACCUGGGGGAGGCAGCGCCUCUGCUUCCAGGCAUCUGGACAUGCCGGGACCAUCUUUGGGCCUUUGCAAACAAACAGUCCAAUUUCCCCUCAAUUUGAGCAUCUGUUUUGGGGGAAAUGUGAUUUAAAAAAAAAAAAAAAUCUUGCUCUGUGAUAGCCAAUAAAUCCUUCACUUAAAACCUGGUGAUAAUUUUGGAGUGCUUCCUAUGCCAGUGAUUCUAGGUCCCUGCAGCAUCCUUGUACCAGCAGAGUAAUGUUUUAAUUUUUAAACACUGUGUUCCUAACGGGAUGUCCAGGUCCAUAAGAGCUCUCUGUCCUCCCACCCCGGCAUCUUGGAGAGGAUGCUAUAUGUACCCACAGUGGCUGGGGCUUGUCGCAAAAAUCUCCCGGCCCAGAGAUGUCACAGGAAAUGGCUGGAGCCCAGCCCACCAAGGGUUGCUCUCCCCCAUGUGGCAGGCAGGGCUGGUGGUGGCAGGGGUCACAGAGCAGUUAUGAACACUGCUGAGAACCAGGGCAGGGAAAGGGCAGAUGGCACAUGGUAGGCACGGGGCCCAGUUCCUUCAGCAGAGGGAGGCACUCCCCAGGGACUCCCAGGAAUGGCUGUGAGGAGCGUGGCAGGGCUUGGCAGGCCCUUGCUAAACAUGGACCCUGGGAAGUGCUGUCACCCAGCUUGUUUUUACCUUUCUGUUUCUCUUCCUGCCUCUUUUCUUCCUUUCCACCUGAGCCCCUCACCUAGAUGAGAUGUGCCCCCUUGCCUGGGGAAUGCAUCAGUCAGAGACCCUUCCUGGGACUCCCGCAGGCUCCCACCAUCUGACCUGUGGAAGGAAGGAUUGAGGCAUUUAUUGCUCUGAGAGCAGGUAGGAGAUGUUUCCAAAACCUGUCUACCCCUGGGUGCUAUGGAUCCGCUUCGCCCUCGUUUUCCUAGAGCCUGGGGCCGGAUGGAGGAGCUCACUUCAAAUGCUCACACAUCUGCGGAAUGAGUAACACUCAUCCCCUUGGCCUCUUCACCCUGAAGAGUUACAGUUAUUAAAAUAAUUGACAAGCUCUUGGAGACGUCAGCCCUCCACUGUUGAGACUCUAAUAACAAUAAUAUUGUGCCCAGUGUCUCUGGGCUUUGGCAGUGGAUUACUUAUUUACCAGAGGCCCCAGGGUCACAGGCACAUGCUUUCUUUUCCUAAUAACCCCAACCUUGUGGCUCCCCUAAGGCUGGGGUGAGCUCUGUGUUCCUCUAGUUUCCGUAAGAUGGUGAACUUGGCAAAAGCUGUCAUUAAACAGAAGCUAGGAGAAAGCCAAGCUUGUGGAAUCAUAAUGGGCAUUGGCAUUUAUUGCUCUUUUCUUGAAUUUCUGCAUUUUUUGGCUUUUUCUUCUCCAAGACUGGGGUCUGUGGAACACAGGUGUCCUGGGAGAUAGUAAUAGGUGCUCUGAGAAAAGAGGGUUCUGUAGUCCAGAAAAUUUGGGAAACACCACCUGGGUACUCUCUCUGAGAUGCACAAGGUACAUUAGCCUAGAUAAAGUCAAGAAGUCCUGCAAUAAAAACACCUUCUAAAUUUUUUUAGCCAGGGACUCUCAAACUCACUUGACAGUAGAGCCUCCCAUUUGGGGAAUAUACAUUAACAAUCUCCAGAUGUGCUAAUGUUCCUUGGAACACACAUUGGGAAGCACUGUUUUAGGGGGCCUGCAGCUGCUGAUGACUCCUGGUUCUGUGUCCUUCGGGAUGCUCUAGCUCAUGGUUCUCUAACUUCAGAGCAUCUGAGUCCUCCGGUGGGCGUGUUAAAACACGGACUGCAGGGCCUACCCCCAGAGUUUCUAAUUCAGUAGAUCUGGGAUGGGCCUGAGAAUUUGUUUUCUAAUGACUUUCUAGGGGAUGAUGAGUCUGCUGGUCCAGGAACCACCCUUUGGGGACCACUUCUCUUAGCUUGAUGUUUUCUAGAAGUGGACAUCCAGGAGUUCCAAGAAAACUUGGCAUGUUGUUGAACCUCUCAUGAGUGUUGGCUGUCUUAUCUGUUGAAUGGGAGCAUGGCUCACUUCCUAGGGCCGUGAGGAUAACCAGCCUGGCAUGUGGAAGGGGCCCAGAGCAGGACCAAUUGCUAAGUUUUAAAUAAAUCUUACCUUUGGGGAUCCAGAUGUUGAAACAUACUAUAAAACUUCUAUAAUUAAAACAGUAUGGUACUGGUGCAUGAAUAGACAAGUAGACCAGUGGAAUAGAAUAGAGAGCCCAGAAAUAGAUGCAAGUACAUGAUAGAGGUGACAUCUCAAUGAUUAUUGGGGGUAAAGAUGGAUUUUUAAAUAAAUGGUGCUGAGAUGACUGAGUAGCCAUUUGGAAAAAGAUAAAAAUAGAUCCAUAUCUCACAUCAUACCCAAGAAUAAAUUCCAAGUGGUUAGGGAUCUAAAUGUAAAAAUUGAAACCAUGCAAGUACUAGAAGAAUGAAUUCUUCUUUAAAACCUUGA